GGAAGUAAAAGUCGCAACAAGGUUUCCGUAGGUGAACCUGCGGAAGGAUCAUUAUUGUAUAACCGAGGUGCGAGGGCUGUCGCUGACCCGAAAGGUCGUGCACGCCCGAGUGCCCUCACACACAUCCAUCUCACCCCUAUGUGCACCACCGCGUGGGUCCCCCUUUGGCUUGUUCGGAGGGGGGCUUACGCUUUCACACAAACUUUGUAUGCAGUGUAGAAUGUAUUUUUUGUUUUUGCGAUCACGCAAUCAAUACAACUUUCAACAACGGAUCUCUUGGCUCUC
rnacentral:misc_RNA from 1 species